UCUCCGUUGGUGAACCAGCGGAGGGAUCAUUACCGAGUUAUCCUACUCUCAACCCCCUGUGAACUUAUACCUUUACUGUUGCUUCGGCGGGUUAACGCCCCGGAAGGCCCGCGAGGCCCGCCGGAACCAGGCGCCAGCCGCGGGACUCAAACUCCUGUAUCUUUUUUAUAGCAUGACUGCGUAGAACCACAAACAAAUGAAUCAAAACUUUCAACAACGGAUCUCUUGGUUCUG
rnacentral:misc_RNA from 1 species